rnacentral:rRNA from 1 species
UACGUAGGGGGCAAGCGUUGUCCGGAUUUACUGGGCGUAAAGAGCGUGUAGGCGGAACGUUAAGUCUGGUUUGAAAGCCCCCGGCUCAACCGGGGAGAGUGGCUGGAAACUGGCGUUCUUGAGGGCGAUAGAGGAGUGUGGAAUUCCUGGUGUAGCGGUGAAAUGCGCAGAUAUCAGGAGGAACACCAAUGGCGAAGGCAGCUCGCUGGGACGGUACUGACGCUGAGACGCGAAAGCGUGGGGAGCAAACAGG